AAAAAGUAGUCUCUGCUCAAUGAAAAUAUUAAAUAGCCGCAGUAUUCUGACUGUGCUAAGGUAGCAUAAUAAUUUGUCCUAUAAUAGAAGACUGGAAUAAAAGAGCUGUCAUUGCUUUAACUUUUUUAAUUUUACUUAUAUAAAAAUUAAUAUCUGCCUCAAAAAGUGCAGCUUUUUAGAAAGACGAUAAGACCCUAUAAAACUUUAUUAAUACUGUUUAUGUAACAUUUAGAAUAUUUUUUAAAAAUAUUAAUUAAGCUGGGGCGGCAUCUUAACAUAAACAUAAGAAAAUAUAACAUUAUCUGUGAAAUAAAAGAUCUUAAAACAAAAAUUUAAAUAGUUACUUUAGGGAUAACAGCACAAUUUUUUUAUAUAGACCUUAUAGAAAAAAAAGACUUGUGACCUCGAUGUUGAAUUGAAGAGCCUAGUUUAAGCAAAAAUAAAUUUAGGUUUGUCUGUUCGACCUUUAAACCUUC
rnacentral:rRNA from 1 species